GAUUCUUGGUCAUUUAGAGGAAGUAAAAGUCGUAACAAGGUUUCCGUAGGUGAACCUGCGGAAGGAUCAUUAUUGAAACUCACGGGGGCGCGUGCUAAGACCUGCACCGGUGGCGACGCCGUGCUGCGGUCUGGCUUGCGUCCUCUUCCAAACCCAAACACCUGUGAACCUUUGGGAUGGCGUGCUGUAACGGCCGUCGUCCCGUUUACACCAACUCUGAUGUCUAUUUGAAUGUGACUCGGGGCCUCCCCGAUUUAAACUUAAAACAACUUUCAACAACGGAUCUCUUGGCUCUCGCAUCGAUGAAGAACGCAGCGAAAUGCGAUAAGUAAUGUGAAUUGCAGAAUUCAGUGAAUCAUCGAAUCUUUGAACGCACCUUGCGCUCCUUGGUAUUCCGAGGAGCAUGCCUGUUUGAGUGUCUUGAAAUCAUCAAACCCCUCUGGUUUCUGCUGGAGCGGGUUUGGACUUGGGGGUUUUGCUGCCUCUGGCGGCUCCCCUUAAAUGAAUCGGUCGGGCUUUCGUGUGGCUUGUCCCUUGGCGUUGUAUCAACCUCGUCGCUGGAUGGCUCGCGAGCUUUAGCGCCCCUCCAAGACCAGCCUCUGGAGUGGCGGUCAGCUUCAAUUUGUGAUCUGACCUCAAAUCAGGUAGGACUACCCGCUGAACUUAAGCAUAUCAAUAAGCG
rnacentral:rRNA from 1 species